UAGAUACACCAUGGGAGUUUCUUAAUGCUGGGAACCUCCUUCUCCUACCGCUUUGACAAAGAGGACUGUCCAUAGCUCUCAGUACAGAUCCAGGAUGACUAAAUGGGAAGCUGAAAUUAUAUCUCCCAAGCCAAGAAGGUGACACAGCCUCCUCAUCACAGCAGCACUGGCAGACAGCUGCAAAAGACAACAGGACUGAACAUUGACUCUGCGGGUUCCCAAACCAUUCCAAAAGUAGCUUGGAAAGGAUGCACUGCAAGGAUUACACUAAA
rnacentral:lncRNA from 1 species